AUGAGCAAUGCUCUACUUGCUCCUUAUACCGCGGAAGAUGUUCACAAGGCUUUAUUCGAUAUUGGGGACUUGAAAGCUCCAGGACCAGAUGGACUCCACGCUAUCUUCUAUAAAAGGUUCUGGCCCAUGCUUGGGGAAGACCUAAUUGAGGAGGUUCUGAAAGCAAUCAACACAUUAGAAUACAGAGUAAGGAUAAAUGCAGAGGAAAAUGAGAGUUUUAAGCCUACUAGAGGGUUGAGACAGGGGGACCCGCUAUCACCAUACCUAUUCCUGCUGUGCACAGAAGGGUUGAAUGCCUUGCUCUCGCAUGCUGAGGAGAACGGGAACAUAUCAGGAGUUAAAGUCUGUAGAGACGCCCCACCAGUAACUAAUCUCCUCUUUGCGGAUGACUCGUUGAUCUUGAUGAAAGCCAACCAACAUAAUGCGGCGUCCCUGAAAUCAGCACUAGAUUUAUAUUGUGCGGCACCGGGACAGCUGGGUGUAGAAGACACGAAGCGCAUGCUUUUCCUAUGUACUAAAGCAAAGGAGGUUUGGAAGAGACUAGGAAUAGAUGAGAUUAUUGAUAGAGCUUGCGAGGUUGAUCGUGCUCGAGAGGCGAUACUGGAAUACCUUUUAGUUCUCCCAGAUCAAGAUUUGCGUAUUAUGGGGUACCAAAAUGACAUGCUGAAGGGUACGGUGGGGGCGGUUUUGCGAGACGACAAAGGACGGAGGACAGUCAACGGGUGCGGCGGCGGCAAUUUUUGA
rnacentral:rRNA from 1 species